AUCACUUGAAUUUUCCAGAAAAGAAACCUCUGCUUGUGUUCUUUCAUUAGUCAAUCAGUCAUUGUUUGACUGCACUUGUUCUUCUUCCUGCACUGUUGGUCUCCUGUUGAUCGUCACUUAUCUCCAGGUGCUGCUCUCUACACGCAGCUUGUUAUCACCUGUUUGCUUACUUGAUUUUCGAAGACACCUACAAGUUGUUCACGUCCACAGUUCAGCGGAGGAGACUCUGGCACAAACUGACAUACGAAAAGAUCCCUACAUGUUGGACUUGAGCCAUGGUCUCCUGAAGCAGACAUCUGCCCACUUGAGCCACAGCGUGGUUUUUCUCACUCUUUAUACAACGCUGCCUACAGCGUUUUACUUUAAAGGUACAACAACGCUAAGAGGAGAACCGGGGAGAUGCCAGUCAAGAGCAGUGCGAACACGCCCACGCAGCUCUGAGAAGACACCUCAUCAAGAGCUUGUUUGCAGCUUUAAACAAUACCUUUCCUCUUGACUUCCAGUCAUACCAGCUUUCACAGUAUGGAGCAGUUUCUUGCUGGUUUCUCUGCUCUGCCUCUCCCUCUCCUAACACUCAGCCUGAUGCUCUGAAUAAAUGAACAGCAGCUACGAACCCCCCGAAUUCACCGAGAGUCCAUUUCAGUGCCAGAGUGCUGACACCCUGAGUGCCAAUUUAUGAACACACACACACACACACACACACCGCUGCCAGCAGUGUUUGUUCAAGUGCCAGUCAGACACACACAAUGCAUGUCAUCUGUUUGACUGUGAAUGCACCGCUGAAUGAGGAAAAUACAAUCGCUGUGAGUCAGGAGGAGAAGAAAAGGAGAGACAGGGAAUGAGUUUCUGUGUAUGUUCAGCUUUGGAGAGAAAACACAAGUCGGGACUCGAGCAGAUAUGAAAAGGAAGGAAAAGAUUUGAUUCUCAUCCUGCCACAAAUGCAGAGUCCACGUGUGCUUUCAGCUGAGUUUUUGUCUGCUUUGACAAUACAGCAGGUUGGAAAGCACAUCUGAACAGAAUCAUUUCCCGAAAACAAAUUUAAAAACACUUACUCAAGUUUUUAAUCAUGCAUAUUGUCACAGGGGAACAUGAAGUAGUGGAAAGUAACCAAAUACACGUAAGCACAGUACUACUAAACAUUGUGAAAGUGUCCACAUUUCUCACUAUUUUCAGGAUUUUUACAAACAAAACAAUCAGUUGAUUAAUGGAGAAAAUAGUCAGGAGAUAGCAAAUAAAAUGUAAUGUCAGUAAUAAAAUGUCAAUAAACAAAGAUGCAAUCAUGAUGUGAGAGCCUUUUCUCCCACUGUACCUCUGCUGCGUGGGGGGUUUAACGAAAAGAGAAGCUAUUACAAAGCGCUGAAGCAGGUAAUUACUCCAAAACUAAUUAGCUGACGAGUCAAGGACAGAUUGAAAUGCAAAAAUAAGAGCGAGUGGGGGACUUUUCUGGUACAGGAAAGAAAAGAGGGAAAAUGUCUGGAAAUGUUCUGUGUAAACAGCAGAGGAGGGCAGUGAGGAGCGAGA